rnacentral:rRNA from 1 species
AACGAACGCUGGCGGCAGGCUUAACACAUGCAAGUCGAACGAGAAGCUGACUUCGGUCAGUGGAAAGUGGCAGACGGGUGAGUAACGCGUGGGAAUCUACCUAGAGGUACGGAACAACUCAGGGAAACUUGAGCUAAUGCCGUAUGUGCCCUUCGGGGGAAAGAUUAAUCGCCUUUAGAUGAGCCCGCGUUGGAUUAGCUUGUUGGUGGGGUAACGGCCUACCAAGGCAACGAUCCAUAGCUGGUCUGAGAGGAUGAUCAGCCACACUGGGACUGAGACACGGCCCAGACUCCUACGGGAGGCUG